GAUGAAGAACGUAGCGAAAUGCGAUAAGUAAUGUGAAUUGCAGAAUUCAGUGAAUCAUCGAAUCUUUGAACGCACAUUGCGCCCCUUGGUAUUCCGAGGGGCAUGCCUGUUCGAGCGUCAUUAUAACCCCUCAAGCUCAGCUUGGUGUUGGGGCCUGCUGCACUGGCAGCCCUUAAAAUCAGUGGCGGCGCCAUCUGGCUCUAAGCGUAGUAAUUCUUCUCGCUAUGGAGUCCUGGUGGAUGCUUGCCAUCAACCCCCAAUUUUUCUAUGGUUGACCUCGGAUCAGGUAGGGAUACCCGCUGAACUUAAGCAUAUCAAUUAAGCGGAGGA
rnacentral:misc_RNA from 1 species